rnacentral:rRNA from 1 species
AGCGAACGCUGGCGGCAGGCCUAAUACAUGCAAGUCGAGCGGGUGUAGCAAUACACCAGCGGCAGACGGGAGAGUAACACGUGGGAACGUGCCCUUCAGUUCGGAACAACCCAGGGAAACUUGGGCUAAUACCGGAUACGUCCGUAAGGAGAAAGAUUUAUCGCUGAAGGAUCGGCCCGCGUCUGAUUAGCUUGUUGGCGAGGUAAUGGCUCACCAAGGCGACGAUCAGUAGCUGGUCUGAGAGGAUGAUCAGCCUCACUGGGACUGAGACACGGCCCAGACUCCUACGGGAGGCAGCAGUAGGGAAUAUUGGACAAUGGGCGCAAGCCUGAUCCAGCCAUGCCGCGUGGGUGAUGAAGGCCCUAGGGUUGUAAAGCCCUUUCGGCGGGGAAGAUAAUGACGGUACCCGCAGAAGAAGCCCCGGCUAACUUCGUGCCAGCCGCCGCGGUAAUAC